GAUGAACGCUAGCGGCAGGCCUAAUACAUGCAAGUCGUACGGGAUUGAGGACUUCGGUUCUCAUGAGAGUGGCGCACGGGUGCGUAACACGUAUGCAACCUACCUUUAUUUGGGGGAUAGCCUUUCGAAAGAGAGAUUAAUACCGCAUAAGACAGCACGAUCGCAUGAGAGAGCUGUUAAAGUUUCGGCGAAUAAAGAUGGGCAUGCGUUGCAUUAGCUAGUUGGUAAGGUAACGGCUUACCAAGGCUACGAUGCAUAGGGGAUCUGAGAGGAUGAUCCCCCACACUGGUACUGAGACACGGACCAGACUCCUACGGGUGGCUG
rnacentral:rRNA from 1 species